rnacentral:tRNA from 1 species
ACCUAGAUAGCUUAUUUGAAGAGUUUGACAUUGAAGAUGUUAGGGAAAUAUUUUUAUUUUUAGGUG